rnacentral:rRNA from 1 species
AUUGAACGCUGGCGGCGUGCUUAACACAUGCAAGUCGAUCGGUAACGCGGGGGCAACCCUGGCGACGAGAGGCGGACGGGUGAGGAACGCUUGGGAAUCUGCCUAUCAGCGGGGGACAACCCGGGGAAACCCGGGCUAAUACCGCAUACGCUCUACGGAGGAAAGCCGGGGACCGCAAGGCCUGGCACUGAUAGAUGAGCCCAAGUCGGAUUAGCUAGUUGGCGGGGUAACGGCCCACCAAGGCGACGAUCCGUAGCUGGUCUGAGAGGACGAUCAGCCACACCGGAACUGAGACACGGUCCGGACACCUACGGGUGGCAG